AUUGAACGCUGGCGGCAUGCCUUACACAUGCAAGUCGAACGGUAACAGGUCUUCGGAUGCUGACGAGUGGCGACCGGGUGAGUAAUACAUCGGAACGUGCCUAGUAGUGGGGGAUAACUACUCGAAAGAGUGGCUAAUACCGCCUGAGAUCUACGGAUGAAAGCAGGGGAUCGCAAGACCUUGUGCUACUAGAGCGGCCGAUGGCAGAUUAGGUAGUUGGUGGGAUAAAAGCGUACCAAGCCGACGAUCUGCAGCUGGUCUGAGAGGACGAUCAGCCACACUGGGACUGAGACGCGGCCCAGACUCCUACAGGAGGCAGCAGUGGGGAAUUUUGGACAAUGGGCGCAAGCCUGAUCCAGCAAUGCCGCGUGCAGGAUGAAGGCCUUCGGGUUGUAAACUGCUUUUGUACGGAACGAAAAGCCCUGGGUUAAUACCCUGGGGUCAUGACGGUACCGUAAGAAUAAGCACCGGCUAACUACGUGCCAGCCGCCGCGGUAAAAC
rnacentral:rRNA from 1 species